AACAGGAUUAGAUACCCUGGUAGUCCACGCUGUAAACGGUGUCGACUUGGAGGUUGUGCCCUUGAGGCGUGGCUUCCGGAGCUAACGCGUUAAGUCGACCGCCUGGGGAGUACGGCCGCAAGGUUAAAACUCAAAUGAAUUGACGGGGGCCCGCACAAGCGGUGGAGCAUGUGGUUUAAUUCGAUGCAACGCGAAGAACCUUACCUACUCUUGACAUCCAGAGAAUUUGCUAGAGAUAGCUUAGUGCCUUCGGGAACUCUGAGACAGGUGCUGCAUGGCUGUCGUCAGCUCGUGUUGUGAAAUGUUGGGUUAAGUCCCGCAACGAGCGCAACCCUUAUCCUUUGUUGCCAGCACGUAAUGGUGGGAACUCAAAGGAGACUGCCGGUGAUAAACCGGAGGAAGGUGGGGAUGACGUCAAGUCAUCAUGGCCCUUACGAGUAGGGCUACACACGUGCUACAAUGGCAUAUACAAAGAGAAGCGAACUCGCGAGAGCAAGCGGACCUCAUAAAGUAUGUCGUAGUCCGGAUUGGAGUCUGCAACUCGACUCCAUGAAGUCGGAAUCGCUAGUAAUCGUAGAUCAGAAUGCUACGGUGAAUACGUUCCCGGGCCUUGUACACACCGCCCGUCACACCAUGGGAGUGGGUUGCAAAAGAAGUAGGUAGCUUAACCUUCGGGAGGGCGCUUACCACUUUGUGAUUCAUGACUGGGGUGAAGUCGUAACAAGGUAACC
rnacentral:rRNA from 1 species